rnacentral:rRNA from 1 species
UACGUAGGGGGCAAGCGUUGUCCGGAUUUAUUGGGCGUAAAGAGCGUGUAGGCGGUUUGGUAGGUCCGCUGUGAAAACUCGAGGCUCAACCUCGAGACGCCGGUGGAAACCAUCAGGCUAGAGUCCGGAAGAGGAGAGUGGAAUUCCUGGUGUAGCGGUGAAAUGCGCAGAUAUCAGGAAGAACACCCGUGGCGAAGGCGGCUCACUGGCCCGGUACUGACGCUGAGGCACGAAAGCGUGGGGAGCAAACAGG